AGCGAACGCUGGCGGCAGGCCUAACACAUGCAAGUCGAACGCCCCUUCGGGGGAGUGGCGGACGGGUGAGUAACACGUGGGAACGUACCUUUUGGUUCGGAACAACUGAGGGAAACUUCAGCUAAUACCGGAUAAGCCCUUUUGGGGAAAGAUUUAUCGCCGAAAGAUCGGCCCGCGUUGGAUUAGGUAGUUGGUGGGGUAAAGGCCUACCAAGCCUACGAUCCAUAGCUGGUCUGAGAGGAUGAUCAGCCACACUGGGACUGAGACACGGCCCAGACUCCUACGGGAGGCAGCAGUGGGGAAUCUUGCGCAAUGGUCGAAAGACUGACGCAGCCAUGCCGCGUGAAUGAUGAAGGUCUUAGGAUUGUAAAAUUCUUUUACCGGUGACGAUAAUGACGGUAACCGGAGAAAAAGCCCCGGCUAACUUCGUGCCAGCCGCCGCAGUAA
rnacentral:rRNA from 1 species